AACGAACGCUGGCGGCAUGCCUAACACAUGCAAGUCGAACGAACCCUUCGGGCUGAGUGGCGCACGGGUGCGUAACACGUGGGAACCUGCCCUUAGGUUCGGAAUAACAGUUAGAAAUGACUGCUAAUACCGGAUAAUGUCUUCGGACCAAAGAUUUAUCGCCUUUGGAUGGGCCCGCGUAGGAUUAGCUAGUUGGUGAGGUAAAGGCUCACCAAGGCGACGAUCCUUAGCUGGUCUUAGAGGAUGAUCAGCCACAGUGGGACUGAGACACGGCCCAGACUCCUACGGGAGGCAGCAGUGGGGAAUAUUGGACAAUAGGCGAAAGCCUGAUCCAGCAAUGCCGCGUGAGUGAUGAAGGCCUUAGGGUUGUAAAGCUCUUUUACCUGGGAUGAUAAUGACAGUACCAGGAGAAUAAGCCCCGGCUAACUCCGUGCCAGCAGCCGCAGUAA
rnacentral:rRNA from 1 species